GACGAACGCUGGCGGCGUGCUUAACACAUGCAAGUCGAACGGUAAGGCCCUGCCUUUGUGGGGUGUUCGAGUGGAGAACGGGUGAGUAACACGCGAGUAACCUGCCCUUGACUUCGGGAUAACUUCAGGAAACUGGGGCUAAUAUCGGAUAGGAGCUCCUUCUGCACGGGGGGGGUUGGAAAGUUUCGGCGGUUGGGGAUGGACUCGCGGCUUAUCAGCUUGUUGGUGGGGUAGUGGCUUACCAAGGCUUUGACGGGUAGCUGGCCUGAGAGGGUGACCGGCCACAUUGGGACUGAGGUACGGCCCGGGCUCCAACGGGGGGCAGCAGUGAAGAAUAGUGCACGAUGGGCUGAAGCCGGAUGCAGCAACGCCGCGUGGUGAAUGACGGCCUUCGGGUUGUAAACCGCUUGCGCCUGUGACGAAGCGUAAGUGACGGUAAUGGGUAAGGAAGCACCGGCUAACUACGUG
rnacentral:rRNA from 1 species